rnacentral:rRNA from 1 species
GAUGAACGCUGGCGGCGUGCUUAACACAUGCAAGUCGAACGAAGCACCUUAUUCUGAUUUCUUCGGAAUGAAAAAUUUGGUGACUGAGUGGCGGACGGGUGAGUAACGCGUGGGUAACCUGCCUCAUACAGGGGGAUAACAGUUAGAAAUGACUGCUAAUACCGCAUAAGACCACAGCACCGCAUGGUGCAGGGGUAAAAACUCCGGUGGUAUGAGAUGGACCCGCGUCUGAUUAGGUAGUUGGUGGGGUAACGGCCUACCAAGCCGACGAUCAGUAGCCGACCUGAGAGGGUGACCGGCCACAUUGGGACUGAGACACGGCCCAAACUCCUACGGGAGGCAGCAGUGGGGAAUAUUGCACAAUGGGGGAAACCCUGAUGCAGCGACGCCGCGUGAGCGAUGAAGUAUUUCGGUAUGUAAAGCUCUAUCAGCAGGGAAGAAAAUGACG